GGAGAAGUACCCAAGUACGGCUGAAGGGGCUCCCCUGCUAAGGGAGUAGUACGAGUGAAUCGUAGCGCGGGUUCAAAUCCCGCCUUCUCCGCCA
rnacentral:tRNA from 2 species